UGCCAGCAGCCGCGGUAAUACGGAGGGUGCAUGCGUUAAUCGGAAUUACUGGGCGUAAAGCGCGCGUAGGCGGUUUGAUCAGUCGGAUGUGAAAGCCCUGGGCUCAACCUGGGAAUGGCAUUCGAUACUGUCAAGCUAGAAUGUGGGAGAGGCAAGUGGAAUUUCCGGUGUAGCGGUGAAAUGCGUAGAGAUCGGAAGGAACACCAGUGGCGAAGGCGGCUUGCUGGCCCAACAUUGACGCUGAGGUGCGAAAGCGUGGGGAGCGAACAGGAUUAGAUA
rnacentral:rRNA from 1 species